GGGAAGGUGGCUCAGUGGUAGAGUGCUUGCCUUGCAAGCAUGAGGCCCUGCAUUCGAUUCCGCAGUACCA
rnacentral:tRNA from 1 species